CCUGGUGUAGCGGUGAAAUGCGCAGAUAUCAGGAGGAACACCGGUGGCGAAGGCGGAUCUCUGGGCCGAUACUGACGCUGAGGAGCGAAAGCGUGGGGAGCGAACAGGAUUAGAUACCCUGGUAGUCCACGCCGUAAACGUUGGGAACUAGGUGUGGGCCACAUUCCACGUGGUCCGUGCCGCAGCUAACGCAUUAAGUUCCCCGCCUGGGGAGUACGGCCGCAAGGCUAAAACUCAAAGGAAUUGACGGGGGCCCGCACAAGCGGCGGAGCAUGUGGCUUAAUUCGACGCAACGCGAAGAACCUUACCAAGGCUUGACAUACACCGGAAACGGCCAGAGACGGUCGCCCCCUUGUGGUCGGUGUACAGGUGGUGCAUGGCUGUCGUCAGCUCGUGUCGUGAGGUGUUGGGUUAAGUCCCGCAACGAGCGCAACCCUUGUCCUGUGUUGCCAGCAACUCUUCGGAGGUUGGGGACUCACGGGAGACUGCCGGGGUCAACUCGGAGGAAGGUGGGGACGACGUCAAGUCAUCAUGCCCCUUAUGUC
rnacentral:rRNA from 1 species